rnacentral:rRNA from 1 species
GAUGAACGCUGGCGGCGUGCCUAAUCCAUGCAAGUCGAGCGAAGCGGGGACGGGUGAGUAACACGUGGAUAACCUCCUAUAAGACUGGGAUAACUUCGGGAAACCGGAGCUAAACCGGAUACUUAUAGAUGGAUCCUUGCUGCAUUGGCUUGUUGGUAUGGUCACGGCUUACCAAGGCAACGAUGCAUCGCCGACCGGAGAGGGUGGGCGGCCACCCCGGAACGGAGAAACGGUCCAGACCCCUACGGGAGGCAGCAGUGGGGAUUCUGCCGCAAUGCACGAGAGCCUAGCGGAGCAAAGCCGCGUGAGGGAUGGGGGGCGUCGGAUCGUAGACCUCUAAUAUUAGGAAAGCGGUAGCUAAUCAGAAAGCCGCGGCUAACUACGUGCCAGCAGCCGCGGUAAUUC